rnacentral:rRNA from 1 species
AUUGAACGCUGGCGGAAUGCUUUACACAUGCAAGUCGAACGGCAGCACGGGAGCUUGCUCCUGGUGGCGAGUGGCGGACGGGUGAGUAAUAUAUCGGAACGUAUCUAUUAAUGGGGGAUAACUAGCCGAAAGGUUAGCUAAUACCGCAUACGCCCUGAGGGGGAAAGCUGGGGAUCUUCGGACCUGGCGUUAAUAGGGCGGCCGAUACCUGAUUAGCUAGUUGGUGGGGUAAAGGCCUACCAAGGCGACGAUCAGUAGCUGGUCUGAGAGGACGACCAGCCACACUGGGACUGAGACACGGCCCAGACUCCUACGGGAGGCAGCAGUGGGGAAUUUUGGACAAUGGGGGCAACCCUGAUCCAGCCAUUCCGCGUGAGUGAAGAAGGCCUUCGGGUUGUAAAGCUCUUUCGCAAGGGAAGAAACGAUAUAAGUGAAUAGCUUAUGUUAAUGACGGU